CCUGCAGUCAAAGAGAGUGGAGCUGGUCUGUGUCUGGGUAAAUAUGCGUUUAAUCUUCACUUUAUUUAAUAAAUCUAACGUUGUAUUUAUUAAUUACUGUGUGUUGAGAUGUCACGUGCCGAUAUUUUCCAGCGAUGAGGCGUUUAUUUCACGGAUGGCGGCAGAUUGUGUUGGAGUCGUUGUAAACUUGUCACGUGGUUUUCUGGUAACAUCACGUCUGUAGAGUUUAUUUAAAGUUAAUUACAGUUCAGUUACAGUUACACGGCUGCAUUGGUCAUACAUACAAGUGAUAUCUAAAUUAAAACCAUGUGGUGGCAUGAACAGGGUCUAAAAUGUGACUGAAGAUGUAACAAUUAUAGGUUUUAUCAAUAGGCAUGUAAAUAAUAGCUCAAUUGUUUUAUUUAUUUUUUUUACGAUUUUAUUAUUGUUUUUCUUUUUUAACUCGUCCAUUAUUUAAAAUGACAAGCAACAAGUAUCCAGAAAUUUCCAUCAGCUGAACACGUGGUGGGGGUGUUGCACAAAUUAUAAUCAGGGAAAUGGACCUUUGGUAUCAGAUAUGGUGAAACAGCAUACAGCUCAGUUACUUUAGCUAUACAGUUAAUGAAUGGGUUACUUACUAAAAAUGCAUGAAAAAUAAAAUAAUUUAAAAAACAAAAAACAAAACCCUCAACUAUAAAAAGUCCAAAAGUGGAAUUGCACACCUAUGUUAAAGGAAACCGUUUAAACAUUAACCAGGCAUUUCAGGGUUUUGAAAAUUUACGUGAUGUAAUUCAAAAAUGGCUGCCACAAUCAGAGGUGUAAUCAGUUACUUAUUUAAGACUAAUAAGAAUAAAAUUUAGUUUUCAUAGCAAAGUUACAAAUUGUUGGUAUCCAAGUUAAAAUGCCCACUUGAAUAAAAUCAAAUAGGCACUCUAUUUUGAUUUUGUUCACUACUUUAAAAGAAAAUAUAUUGUAUCCACACACGCUUACUAAAUUUAUAAAAACUACUAAGUCAUGGUAAAAUUUUACGUCUAAUCUAAAGUAUUUAUAAAUGAAGUGAAACAAGAUCGUAAAGGCUAAAGGUGUGAAGCUUUUGGCCCUUUUUGUGGAUGCACAGAUCUGUAGAUCUUUGGAUGUACUAGUGUAAAAGCUAAUGAAGAAUAAUAAUAAUAAUAAUAAUAAUAAUUGUACUGGUUUAACUCUUUUGAGAUCCAGUUAUUCUGGUCGCUGUGGCCUUGAACUAUUAACUGAAAGGCGUUUUCUUCUUACAGUUUAAUGUUGACGCUUCAACGGCGUUCUUUUUGACGAGGAUGACGCAGACUCCAGUUUUUCUCCAGCACAGUCAAGGUAAGUUUUCCUUAGUGCUUUUUGCUAUGUAAAUGAAGCAGCUUCCUGCGCUGUGAUGAUGUUUUUCCUGCCAUUCGUAGUUUCCACCAGAGGUUUAAACACCAAAGAUGGUUCAAAUCUUCCUUGGAUGUCUGAGCGAACAUUAGAGGAUUGUAGCUCUGCUUUUGAACAUCUUUGUUUUAAGAACUAACUUGAUUUUUAUUCUCACUUCAGGGCAUUUAUUGCCACGGAUACAAGGCUAAUCUGUGGAUCCUCCAGACUGUUAAAGCUGGUAUGUACGGUAACUUUAUGAAGUCUUAAGUCUUUGAAGAGUUUGUCGCUGUGAUGAUGAUUUUCCUGCCAUUCGUAGUUUCCACCAGAGGUUUAAAUGCCAAAGAUGGUUCAAAUCUUCCUUGGAUGUCUGAGCGAAUAUUAGAUUGUAGCUUUGCUUGUGAACUCUUCUCUUCCAGAGCUAACUUUAUCUCAAUUUAUCUCACUUUCAGGCUGGACGUCAACGUUGAUGGACCUGCAAUCAAAGAUAACUCAGCUUUUUUUUUUUUUUUUUUUUUUUUUUUUUUUUUUUUUUUUGCCCUGCUCUUUGAAAGUUGGCUGUAGUCUUAAACAUUAAUUUAAUGUUAAACAAAAAACAAGCUAGCAGUUUUUUGUGAUUAUAAAUGAGUUGUUCUUAGACUUAAAAUGACUGUUUGUUCUGUACAAGUAAAUAAAAAAAACAAUAGGUGUG
ensembl:lncRNA